UACGGAAGGCAGCAGUGGGGAAUAUUGCACAAUGGGCGAAAGCCUGAUGCAGCUAUGCCGCGUGUAUGAAGAAGGCCUUAGGGUUGUAAAGUACUUUCAUCGGGGAGGAAAAACAAAACUAAUAAUUUUAUUUCUUGACGUUACCCGAAAAAGAAGCACCGGCUAACUCCGUGCCAGCAGCCGCGGUAAUACGGAGGGUGCUAGCGUUAAUCAGAAUUACUGGGCGUAAAGAGCACGUAGGUGGUUUUUUUAAGUCAGAUGUGAAAUCCCUGGGCUUAACCUGGAACUGCAUUUUGAAACUGAAAUACUAGAGUAUCGUAGAGGGAGGUAGAAUUCUAGGUGUAGCGGUGAAAUGCGUAGAUAUCUGGAGGAAUACCUGUGGCGAAAGCGGCCUCUAAACGAAUACUGACACUGAGUGCGAAAGCGUGGGGAGCAAACAGGGAUUAGAUACC
rnacentral:rRNA from 1 species